UUGAACUAAAGGCAAUCAAGCACACACCAUACAGUAGGCAUAAAUCAGGCAGAAAAUGCAUUAAAACAAACUAAAAGUCCCAUUUAGCAGAGCUAUAAAUAAGAGCCUUAAGAGCAUAAUUAGUAUUGGAAUAUGAAUGGGAAAGGUGGAUACCUCCUCAGUUGUACAACCUAAUACAUUCAACUGAAAUGUGUCUUCUGCAUUUAACCCAACCCCUCUGAGUCAGAGAGGUGUGUCUUCCACGUUUAACCCAACCCCUCUGAAUCAGAGAGGUGUGUCUUCCACGUUUAACCCAACCCCUCUGAAUCAGAGAGGCGUGUCUUCCACGUUUAACCCAACCCCUCUGAAUCAGAGAGGUGUGUCUUCCACGUUUAACCCAACCCCUCUGAAUCAGAGAGGUGUGUCUUCCACGUUUAACCCAACCCCUCUGAAUCAGAGAGGUGUGUCUUCCACGUUUAACCCAACCCCUCUGAAUCAGAGAGGUGUGUCUUCCACGUUUAACCCAACCCCUCUGAAUCAGAGAGGUGUGUCUUCCACGUUUAACCCAACCCCUCUGAAUCAGAGAGGUGUGUCUUCCACGUUUAACCCAACCCCUCUGAAUCAGAGAGGUGUGUCUUCCACGUUUAACCCAACCCCUCUGAAUCAGAGAGGUGUGUCUUCCACGUUUAACCCAACCCCUCUGAAUCAGAGAGGUGUGUCUUCCACGUUUAACCCAACCCCUCUGAAUCAGAGAGGUGUGUCUUCCACGUUUAACCCAACCCCUCUGAAUCAGAGAGGUGUGUCUUCCACGUUUAACCCAACCCCUCUGAAUCAGAGAGGUGUGUCUUCCACGUUUAACCCAACCCCUCUGAAUCAGAGAGGUGUGUCUUCCACGUUUAACCCAACCCCUCUGAAUCAGAGAGACACUCACGGCUCAUCCAUCCGUUGAUCUAUUACUUCACAGGAACACAAACACUGUGCUUCCUCCUGUCACUUCUCACACUACAUAAACUAACAGAUACUUAUUCACUAUUGUUCAUUUGGAAAUAAGAUACAUGUUUGCAACGGUCGUACUGCGGGGGAUUCUGUCUCUGGCAGCUGAUACGGUCUGUAGGAAAGUCCAUAUCAACACACAUAAUAGGACUAGAAGCACACAUCUUGUACACCAAGCAGUGUACCUCGCUGCAAUGCCCGCGAGUGGCAGCAGCGGUCUAAGACACUGUAUCUCAGUGAGGUGUCACUACAGACCCUGGUUCGAUUCCAGGCUUUAUCACAACCGAUCGUUGAUUGGGAGUUUUUUUAUCCUUGAAGCCCUCGAUCCAGUUCUCGGUUUAAAAUAGAGAAGUCCUGAGCAAUCUGUAGUAAAGCAGACCAACAAUUACUUUUCCAUUACAGUUACUCAUUAGUCUGGCUAACACCUUAACUCUCAAAGUCAUCCUGACAUCUGGAAUGUCUCUUUGAUAUAGUCGGCACAAUGUGUCAAUAAUGACGGGGGCUGUGCUUUUCCUGGUUGGCUCUCCUGUUCACGAUUCAACCCAAUGAUUCAAGAUUCAACCCAAUGAUUCACGAUUCAACCCAAUGAUUCACGAUUCAACCCAACGAUUCAAGAUUCAACCCAAUGAUUCAAGAUUCAACCCAAUGAUUCACGAUUCAACCCAAUGAUUCA